CAGUAGCCGCGGUAUACGGAGGGAGCUAGCGUUGUUCGGAAUUACUGGGCGUAAAGCGCACGUAGGCGGUUAUUCAAGUCAGAGGUGAAAGCCCGGGGCUCAACCCCGGAACUGCCUUUGAAACUAGAUGACUGGAAUCUUGGAGAGGUCAGUGGAAUUCCGAGUGUAGAGGUGAAAUUCGUAGAUAUUCGGAAGAACACCAGUGGCGAAGGCGACUGACUGGACAAGUAUUGACGCUGAGGUGCGAAAGCGUGGGGAGCAAACAGGAUUAGAUACCCCUGUAGUCCCUGUCUCUUAUACA
rnacentral:rRNA from 1 species